UACGUAGGGUGCGAGCGUUAAUCGGAAUUACUGGGCGUAAAGAGUGCGUAGGCGGUUCUUUGUGUCCGGUGUGAAAGCCCCGGGCUUAACCUGGGAAUGGCAGUGGAAACUAGAGAACUUGAAUCUGGCAGAGGGGGGUGGAAUGCCACGUGUAGCAGUGAAAUGCUUAGAUAUGACAUAGAACACCAAUGGCGAAGGCAGCUUACUACACAAAUAUUGACGCUGAGGCACGAAAGCGUGGGGAUCAAACAGG
rnacentral:rRNA from 1 species